UUUGUGUGUGCAUGUGGGUUUGAUUCACAAGAACCUAUUUAAUAUUUGACUAGCGUAACAGCAUCAGUUAUCGAUUAGUAUGCAUAAGGGUUUUGUGUAUACACUAACGCUGUAUAUCAAUUAUUACGGAAAAUACGUUAGAAUAGUAUUAGACUACACUGUAAAGUCAGUCACGUCGAGCAGUGGGGCCCAUUUUAUAAUAGACAUUCUACAAUCUCUUGUGUAAUUCUGGUCUUACUUGAGUUCCAAGCGAUCCUUUCGAAGUGGUCCACGGGCCCACCGGGGAUUUGCCUGAAAGCCCAUAUAGCUAGUCCGCCCCUGCACUGAACUCAUUAACACUCCAGGGUAGAAGACGAUAAAGUAUAGUAGCAAUAAUGUACGGACAACUUAU